UGGGGAAUAUUGCACAAUGGGCGCAAGCCUGAUGCAGCCAUGCCGCGUGUGUGAAGAAGGCCUUCGGGUUGUAAAGCACUUUCAGCGAGGAGGAAGGUGGUGAGCUUAAUACGCUCAUCAAUUGACGUUACUCGCAGAAGAAGCACCGGCUAACUCCGUGCCAGCAGCCGCGGUAAUACGGAGGGUGCAAGCGUUAAUCGGAAUUACUGGGCGUAAAGCGCACGCAGGCGGUUUGUUAAGUCAGAUGUGAAAUCCCCGGGCUCAACCUGGGAACUGCAUUUGAAACUGGCAAGCUAGAGUCUCGUAGAGGGGGGUAGAAUUCCAGGUGUAGCGGUGAAAUGCGUAGAGAUCUGGAGGAAUACCGGUGGCGAAGGCGGCCCCCUGGACGAAGACUGACGCUCAGGUGCGAAAGCGUGGGGCAGCAAACAGGAUUAGAUACCCUGGUAGUCCACGCUGUAAAACGAUGUCGAUUUUGGAGGUUGUGCCCUUGAGGCGUGGCUUCCGGAGCUAACGCGUUAAAUCGACCGCCUGGGGAGUACGGCCGCAAGGUUAAAACUCAAAUGAAUUGACGGGGUCAUAGCU
rnacentral:rRNA from 1 species